rnacentral:rRNA from 1 species
UGAAUACGAGAUGCUACGGCGUCGAAGCAGUGUAUGUCAUACUUCCAAGAAAAGCUCGCUAUGUCAUAAACAAUUAAUGCCUGUACCAUAACCGACACAGGUGGGUAGGUAGAGUAUACUAAGGGGCGCGAGAUAACUCUCUCUAAGGAACUCGGCAAAAUGACUCCGUAACUUCGGGAGAAGGAGUACCUUAUUUAUAAGGUUGCAAUAACAAGAUCCAAGCAACUGUUUACCAAAAACACAGGUCUCCGCUAAGUCGUAAGACGAUGUAUGGGGGCUGACGCCUGCCCAGUGCCAGAAGGUUAAAGAAGUUGGUUAGCAUUCGCGAAGCUGAUGACUGAAGCCCUGGUGAACGGCGGCCGUAACGAUAACGGUCCUAAGGUAGCGAAAUUCCUUGUCGGGUAAGUUCCGACCCGCACGAAAGGCGUAAUGAUUUGGAUACUGUCUCGGAGAGGGCUCGGUGAAAUAGACUUGUCUGUGAAGAUGCGGACUACCUGCACCAGGACAGAAAGACCCUAUGAAGCUUUACUGUAACUUGAGAUUGAAAUUGGACUUUAUUUGUGCAGUAUAGGUGGGAGGCGUUGAAGAAAUUCUUGCGGGAAUUUUGGAGCCAUCAGUGAGAUACCACCCCUAUAAUGUUAGAUUUCUAACUUUGUAUCAUUAUCUGGUCAAAGAACAGUUUCAGGCGGGCAGUUUGACUGGGGCGGUCGCCUCCCAAAUGGUAACGGAGGCGUACAAAGGUUUCCUCUGAACGGGUAGAAAUCGUAUCUAGAGUAUAAAGGCAUAAGGAAGCUUGACUGUGAGACCAACAAGUCGAGCAGGGACGAAAGUCGGUCUUAGUGAUCUGACGGUGCUGAGUGGAAAGGCCGUCACUCAACGGAUAAAAGUUACUCUAGGAUAACAGGCUGAUCUCCCCCAAGAGUUCACAUCGACGGGGAGGUUUGGCACCUCGAUGUCGGCUCAUCGCAUCCUGGGGCGGUAGUACGUCCCAAGGGUUGGGCUGUUCGCCCAUGAAAGCGGUACGCGAGCUGGGUUCAGAACGUCGUGAGACAGUUCGGUCCAUAUCCGGUGUAGGCGUUAGAAUAUUGAGAGGAGCCUUCUUUAGUACGAGAGGACCGAGAAGGACAUACCUCUGGUGUACCAGUUAUCGUGCCAACGGUAAACGCUGGGUAGCUAUGUAUGGAGUGGAUAACCGCUGAAAGCA